CGGCAAACGGGUGCGGAACACGUACGCAAUCUACCUCUUUCAGGGGCAUAGCCCGGAGAAAUCCGGAGUAACUCCCCAUAAGAUAAUGGUGUGGGAUCACACAGUUAUUAAAACUCAGGUGGAAAGAGAUGAGCGUGCGUCCCAUUAGCUAGUUGGUAGGGUAAUAGCCUACCAAGGCAACGAUGGGUAGCUGGUGUGAGAGCACGACCAGGCACACGGGCACUGAGACACGGGCCCGACUCCUACGGGAGGCAGCAGUGAGGAAUAUUGGUCAAUGGACGCAAGUCUGAACCAGCCAUGCCGCGUGAAGGAUGAAGGCGUUCUGCGUUGUAAACUUCUUUUAUCUGGGAAGAAANCUACCUUUUCUAAGGUAGCCGACGGUACCAGAGGAAUAAGCACCGGCUAACUCCGUGCCAGCAGCCGCGGUAAUACGGAGGGUGCAAGCGUUAUCCGGAUUCACUGGGUUUAAAGGGUGUGUAGGCGGAUAUUUAAGU
rnacentral:rRNA from 1 species